rnacentral:lncRNA from 1 species
CGCGCCGAGGGCGGACCAGCAGCCCCGAGCAUUGACACGGCGUUAAGGGCAGCCUGAAGGCUGGGUUGUUCAUCCUCCUCUGUGCCCUUCUAAACGGAGAAUCAGAGAGAAAAUCCCCGAUGGACUUCCCGUCCCUUUUGUGUCGCUCCUGGCACCAAGUAAGGGAACAAGGAUGCACCGGGGUUCCUGUCGCCGAGCGAGAAAGUAAAGGGCACUGUUGCUCGGAACCAGGUUUUCAGGGGUCUUAACUACAAGGCAGAAACCGGAGUCGGGUCCACAGGGAGGGAGGAAGGGACUCAGGUCACUCUGCUGAGGCUUUCCCACGGUCUCUCCACCGUCUCCUUAACACCGGGAAACCGAAACACCCGUGGCGAGGAGCAGUCAGACAAAAGGGCAAGGAAGGAAGCUACAAAUCCUUUUCAAAAGGCAGAGAAAAGAAAUGAACAGCAACAACAAGAAGGAAAAAAAGGAAAAAGGUACCAUAAAAUUGAUAAUAUUUUCAGCCAGAACUUUUUUGGAAAUUCUCCCACAGAAUAUAUUUGCACAGGAAAAUUGCUGAUUCAUGAAGAAAUUCUUCUACAGAAGGAAAAGCUGCAAUGAAAUCAAUGAAAUUGUUUUUAAAGGAAAUAUACAGAGAUAUUUUACUAAGAUCAAAC